AUUGCAUGCAGCAUCAUCGCCGGCCGACGAAUGGAAACCAAAAAGCAGAGCAAAUAACCGACCGAUCAAGGCAGAAGAGAAGGACUCACGCUGACGAACGCAAAGUCGACGGACGGCGGCUCCACCGUCGUCUCAGAGUCGGCGGUGGCAGGCUCGGCGCCCGUCUCGACGGCACGGACGGCGCGGAGGCUCCUCCCGCUCUUCCUCCUCCCCUGCUGCUGCUGCGGCAGGUGGACAGAGCGGUGCUGCUUCUCGUUGCUGCUGCUGCAGGAAGGAGCUGGAUGAUGGGCGGAGGAGGUGCCGAGCAGGCUGAUGAACUGCAGUGUCGCCGCCAUUGCCGCAGCCUGCGAGCUGCGCAGUCGUCAAGGUUUUUGAGUCUUAUCCUGUUCUGCUGCUAUAUUCGUUUCGGCUUUGUAUCCUGUGGCCGCUGAGGGCUCAGCACUCGGCUUUGUGCUAUCAAAAUCUUAUCUGCUGCUGGCUACCUGUGGCCGCUGAGGGAGGUUCUAUUUGGC
rnacentral:lncRNA from 1 species